AUGGGACAGAGGCUGUGAAUAGUCAGAGGUCACAAAGCCAUGUCAUCAUCGGGCAGUGUCCGCCUUGAGGCAAACCUUCCAGGACAGGACCAGGAAGAGAGCUUCCUUUGGUGUAAUAGUCAAUAGACUUCUUGUUACCUGCCUGCGGGAUGUAGCACUCUCAGCUCCAGUAUCACAUCUGCCUGCAUUCGGCCGUGCUCCCUGCCAUGAUGACAAUGGACUGAACCUCUGAAACUUGACAUGAACUAACAUUUUUCGAGUUGACAUCCCUCAAGAUAAAUGAUGCCAGGAGGCGUCUGUGCAAACAUCCUGACCCGCAGCUUGUUGUGAGGCUUGCUUGUUCCUGGUGCCUUCGCCACACUACUUGGCCUGAGCUUGCUUCCAUGUUGAGAUCUCUGCCAUCAACUUUGCUUUUGUAUACAAGCCCUGCACAUUUAAUUGCCUGCUUGACAUCUCGAAGGCAUCUCAAAUUUGGCACAUCCCAAAGGAAGCCAGAGUUCUCUUGUUGAUGUUUACUUUCCCCAAGUUUUCCCUGUUCAUGGACAUGGCUCCGACAUCUGUUCAAGGGCUCAGGUCAGAACCGAGUCCAAAGCCGGAACCCAGACUCCUGUGAUUUUCCUUCUCUUUAUGAAUUCCCCACAGCCAGUCUGUCAGCAAGGUCUGCCAAGGCCGCCUCCAAAGCAUCUCCAAAAUGUACCUCACGUAUGGCAUCUGCUACCUUUGUAUUUACCACUGCUGUCCUUGUCGAAGCAUCAUCUUUCCGUCCAGCUGAGCUGUCCCAUGGAAAUAUAACACAUCCCACCCAUGAAAAUGUCAACAUUUUCUUGGCACUGCACUGAAAAAGCAAAACAAAACAAAAUAGGAAUGAAUGGCCAAUCUGUCCUACUUGCUCCUGCACCCAGGCAACUCACUCAACACCAGGCUCACAGAGGGGCUUCAGGGAUUGUUGCUCCAAGGGGCAGCAAGUGCAUGAGCACCCCACAAGCAUUAUCAUCCCUUUGAACUGGGGAAUCUCCUGGAGGCCAAAUUCAGCACUGAGAGACACAGGACAUGAGUUUCUGAAAGCUCAUCUGUAUCCCUGCUCAUGCCAGGCCCAGCAGGCUAAAGUAUGGAUGCUGUGUGAGGAAGCUGUUUCCUGCCCCCGCAGGGACAUACUGCUGGGCACUGAAUCUCCAGUCUCAGCUAUUAAAGGAAUUCAAGUUCCUGGGGGAGAGAAAAGAUCCAGGAAACCCUUCAGGACCAACGUAUUUUUUUUGGAUAACUCCUUAAAGGCAUUUCCUGUACAGGACUGAAAAUGGUUUUCUUCAUCUAGACUGGAGCUCCUUGAGGGCAGACCUGUGGCUCAUUCACGGUGCAAGCCUUAGCUUGGGGUUUCUCAAUCGAACCCAGAGCUUGCUGAUUUGGCUAGUCCAGCUCGUUCCAGAGGGCCUCUGCCUCUGCUGAGAUUACAGGAACCAUAAGGUUGCACCCUUGUGCUGAGGCCCAUGGGCACUAAGAAAGAAGAAAUACCUGUUCUGAGGCCUACAUUUCCAGAAACAAAGCUCAAGACCAAAGGGGGCAGGUCUGAGCUGGCCCCCUUCUGUGAUAAGAGGCACUCUCUGGACACUAUCCUCUUCAAGGGAUGGAGUUGACCAAGUGACCUUUGGGUAGACAAGUUUUCCAAGCAUCCAGAGGAGCUGUUGCUGCCUAUGGAAGACAUAUGCUUAUUCAUUCCUGGUGAUGCCCUGGCAGGGCAGGUGUAAGGUGACUCUCCAUGAAUCUCAGUUUUGGAGCUCAAAAAUCAAGCCCUUGCAAAAGCUAGCCAACCACUACCACUGAGCUACACUCCUGCCCCGAAGUUCUUGACAGGCACUGGCAGUCCUUUUAGGCUCUAUCCACAGCUGACAUUCAGGCCAGAAGGAUGGAUUCUCCCAGACACCAAUGAGGUGGGCAUCAGAUAGCUCCCAACAACCAGCCCUCUCUAAAAUCUUCCCUCGCUGAAGAGAGUCCCAUUAUCCAAUGCUACGCCACUUUGCUGGACCAUCCCACACCCAAUGACUGGUCAAUAAAGAGACCAAUGCUGGAUAUCCCCCCACCUAAGUUUGGAGUGAUUCUGAAGGGCCACUGCAGCUUCAGAGCUCCUUGUAGGUAAGCUGGUACUGCACUGUCACAGCUGUAUCACCCUCUGUGUCUCCCUGUGCUCAGUCUUGUGUGUGUGAACCUCAAGACCAGCUUCCAAUAAGUAUCCUGAGUCAGAGCCUCCAUCCUUAUGUGUUGUAGAAUAUUAAUAAGAUGUGUUACAUUUGCUUAUGCUCUAGAACAUCUGUUCCAGAUGCACGUGUCCCAGAUGUGUUGCUUUUGUUUAUGCUGCAUUUGUUUAACUCUGUUAGCUGCGAUUCAUGGCCUGUCUAAAACACCUGGUGCUUUAGUAAAGAGCUGAACAGCCAAUAGUGAGGCAGGAAAGAGGAUAGGUAGGGCUGGAAGACAGGGUAUAAAUAGAAGGAGAAGUCUGGAAGAAGAAGGAGGAACAAUAGAACAAGGAGAGGAAGAUGUCAGGGGCUAGCCACCAAGCUACCCAGCCAGUCAUGGAGUAAGAGUGAAAGCAAGAUUACAGAAGUAAGAAAUAGAAAAAACCCAGAGGCAAAAGGU